AAACGUAAUUUUUGUCUUUGUCGGCACUGUCUUGCAGUGGCGCUGAAGUUGAUUUCUACCUUUAUUGGCGCUGCUCUUAGCUUGUUUAUCACCGUCGCUCACGAGGUAUUCUCACUCUCUGCGGCAACGCGCUUUCGGUUCCGCCGCGUGAUCGCAACGGAGGCGCGCGAAACGUGAGUUUUCUCUCUGUCAGCACUGUCUUGCAGUGGCACUGAAGUUGAUUUCUAUCUUGAUUGGCGCUGUCUUAGCUUGUUUAUCAGCGCCGCUCACGAGGUAUUCUCGCUCUCUGCGGCAACGCGCUUACGCGGUUUCGGUUGCGCCGCGUGAUCGCAACGGAGGCGCGCCAAACGUUAGUUUUCUCUCUGUCGGCACUCUCUUGCAGGGGAGGCAGAAGUUGAUUUCUAUCUUGAUUGGCGCUGUCUUAGCUUGUUUAUCAGUGCCGAUCACGAGGUAUUCUCGCUCUCUGCGGCAACGCGCUUACGCGGUUUCGGUUGCGCCGCGUGAUCGCAACGGAGGCGCGCCAAACGUUAGUUUUCUCUCUGUCGGCACUCUCUUGCAGGGGAGGCAGAAGUUGAUUUCUAUCUUGAUUGGCGCUGUCUUAGCUUGUUUAUCAGUGCCGAUCACGAGGUAUUCUCGCUCUCUGCGGCAACGCGCUUACGCGGUUUCGGUUGCGCCGCGUGAUCGCAACGGAGGCGCGCCAAACGUUAGUUUUCUCUCUGUCGGCACUCUCUUGCAGGGGAGGCAGAAGUUGAUUUCUAUCUUGAUUGGCGCUGUCUUAGCUUGUUUAUCAGUGCCGAUCACGAGGUAUUCUCGCUCUCUGCGGCAACGCGCUUACGCAGUUUCGGUUCCGCCGAAUGAUCGCAACGGAGGCGCGCGAAACGUGAGCUCUCUUGCAGAUGCGGCGGAAGCUGAUUUCUACCUUGAUUGGCGCGAUAAGGCGCUGUGCGUAGAACCGUGUUUCAAGGAAUACCACACUCUGAAAUAUUAUUGAACAUUUGGAGUUCUGAGUGAUGCCGACAUCAAAAUACUGUUUCUAAUUUUUUUUUCACUAUUUAUUCCCGACUUUAUACAUUUUGUACAUUCAAUAUCCGCAAUAAAGUAAUUUGACCAUCUGGGAAAGUUUUUUUUCAAAAUAAUUCGACCUUCAAAGGGUUAAUUAUACAUGCACACAUGCGCUGUGAACCAAAAGCAGAGAAAAACCACCUGUGUUUUGGAAAAGCUAGUGAAAUGGAAGACAGUAAAAUGAAAAAACUCCACAAGUCCAGGGGACGUUCAAAGCCAACAAGAGCGGAGGUCUAUCUAAAGCUCUGAGGGCUUACCAGUAAACUUAUUAGGCAUCUUGGUGCUCGUACUGUGACCAGAGCUGGCGCAUGUGCGUGUGCAAAUUAAGGAACAGACUUGCUAUGUUCUGCAACAGUGGCACUAUUCCCUACUUCUCAUACUUUACUGCAUAACAGGACUACAUUGCGGCAAAGGUAACUUUAAAGGUAAAUAUCGCCAAGCAAACAAAGUGUUUCGGCCUUUCCUGUGCCAUUUGUUUAAUUCGACCCGCCAGAUAAUUCGACCAGUUUCGUUGGUCCCGUCAGAAUCAAGUGAACGGAUGUCUACUGUAUUAGGAAUGGCUGUAAAGCUUUUACUGCCCCUGCUGAAAAAAAAAAAAAAAGGCACGAGACAUGGUGUACUAUUUAUCUGUCAAAAUUAGAAGGCAGUGCAACCUUUGCUAUCGUGAGUGGCCUCGUAAUUGGCGGUUAGGGUGUUAAGGUGAGUAAAAUCUCAAUAAAUUUAGUUAUUAAGUUAUUAACACUGGUGUGGCAGUUUGCACAAUGCUCUUCCUUAAUAAAUUCACUAGAUAUGAUUCAAAAUAAUUCGGUUCAUUUCAUUCUUUCCAACUGCAACAGAAUAGCAAGCAUAUCAUCCACGAAAUCAAGCCUUGAUCUAUCAUCCCUUGCAUGCCAUUUCGUUAUUUCGUUAAAGCAUUUUUCACACCUUAUUUCAUCAUCCUCACAUCCACACUGAGUUUAUAUUGUCUCCUCAAUAUACGUGUCCUCUCGCUCGGAUCAUGCACAAGUUGGAAUUCCUUUCUGUAAAUCUAAUGCUUUUUCUCAGUCAUCCUUAUAACGGAUAUCAGAAAAGUCGAAUCCCUACCGGCACAAACACCUACCUCCACAAACAACCGCCAUCAAAGAUCAUUACCUGUUCAAGAACACCUCAGCCAACAUUGCACAAUUCUCACGUUCUUGCUAACUUUUGUUUUUUAAUUUCUGAUCUUUGUAACCCACUCCCCACUCUAAUGCCUUUGGCCCUGAGGUUAUGUCAA